UUUGUGAAGCCCCGCCCCUUUCUAAGCUCCGCCCCCUUGCCUGACCCCCCCCCCCAACGCCCCCUGACGUCACAAAGGCACACCCCCCGCUUGGUGGCCCCUCCUCCCCAUCAUUAUGUAACAUCGCCCCGGCGGAGGCCGCCCUGCCCCUCCCUCCCUAUUGGCAGGGACGCGAGACCAAAGUCACCGCCCAUUGGUGGAUCGUAGCGGGGCGGGGCUGGAGGAGAAGGGGCGGAGCCAAUGAGCCCCCAGCGCGGAGCCACGUGACGCGCAGCCCGUGUCGCCACAUGGAGGGGCGUGGCCGCGGCUCCACCUCCUCAGGCCAAUCAGCUGCGGGGCGGCACCGCAUUGGGCAGCGCCGGCCAACCAGCGGCGAGGGGGCGUGGCGUGGCGCCGAGGCUCCGCCCGCUGCUGGGACGCGGGAGCCAAUGGACGAACGGGGUGGGCGGGGCCCAGCGGGAGGCACGUGCGGCCGCGCACGUGUCCGCGUGGGGCCACCGCGGCCGGGGCGGGACCGGGACGGGAACAACGAGACCGGGACCAGCGGUACCGGGACAGCGCGGUAUCGGUACCGACACCCGGACACCGGCACCUGCAGCACCCCCGAGCCUCAUCCCGACGGAGCUGAACCCCCCCCUUACCAUGGAGCCCCCCCCCCGCGCCUGCUCCUGCGGCUCCCCUACCUCCGACAGCGAGACCGAGGGGGGCGGCACCCUCCCGCCCCCCCCCCAAACCUGAGCACGGCUGCAAGCGCCUGGGGGGGCCGGAACGAGCUCCCUCCGGCUCCCCCCCAUCCCCCUGCACUGGGAAGCGGCCCCGGAAAGGGGAGGGGGGGAAGCCCCAGCCCCCCACCCCCAGUGAUGCCGAUCUCCUCUUUGCCCAAAAAUGCCGGGAGCUGGGGGGCUUCAUCCAGCCCCUGGAGGAGCUGCUCGAGGGGCUCAAGCGGGGACGGUACGACAGAGGCCUGAGCAGCUUCCAGCAGAGCGUGGCCAUGGACCGGCUCCAGCGCAUCAUCGGGGUCCUGCAGAAUCCAGAAAUGGGCGCCCGGUACUUGGCGACGCUGCUGCAAGUCGAGGGGAUGCUGCGGGUCUGG